rnacentral:pre_miRNA from 14 species
UGACAGCACAUUAUUACUUUUGGUACGCGCUGUGACACUUCAAACUCGUACCGUGAGUAAUAAUGCGUGGUCA